UGGGGAAUUUUGGACAAUGGACGCAAGUCUGAUCCAGCCAUGCCGCGUGCGGGAAGAAGGCCUUCGGGUUGUAAACCGCUUUUGUCAGGGAAGAAACGAGUUUCUCUAAUACAGAGACUUAAUGACGGUACCUGAAGAAUAAGCACCGGCUAACUACGUGCCAGCAGCCGCGGUAAUACGUAGGGUGCAAGCGUUAAUCGGAAUUACUGGGCGUAAAGCGUGCGCAGGCGGUUAUGCAAGACAGAUGUGAAAUCCCCGGGCUCAACCUGGGAACUGCAUUUGUGACUGCAUAGCUGGAGUGCGGCAGAGGGGGAUGGAAUUCCGCGUGUAGCAGUGAAAUGCGUAGAUAUGUGGAGGAACACCGAUGGCGAAGGCAGCCCCCUGGGUCAAGAUUGACGCUCAUGCACGAAAGCGUGGGGAGCAAACA
rnacentral:rRNA from 1 species